ACUUAAAUAGUUUAAAAAAAAUUUUGAUUUGUGGAGUCAAAGAUAUAAAUUGUUAUUUUAGGUA
rnacentral:tRNA from 1 species